CCUUAAGAACAUUUGUCCCCGAAUGUUCCUCAACUAGCACAUGCAAGGCAUACAACAUAUCAUACACAUAAAACACAUGAAACAUAUAAGAAACUAACCUUAGAAAAGAUAAGGGUAUUGCUGGAGCAUGGACUCCCGUGUCUCCCAGGUGCAUUCUUCCAAAUUGUGGUGGUUCCAAAGGACUUUCACCAUCGGGAUUUCCUU
rnacentral:lncRNA from 1 species